GUUGGCGCAGUGCACACGGGCCGCCAGCGUAUUUAACAGGCGGUCCAGUGCCUGGCGAUCCAGAGCAUCCCGUCCCGAGGUGAGAAGGUUUAGCAGGCUGUUGGGCUGGACAACUGCUGCUGUGAUGACCAGCAUAGCCAACAGGAGCCCCUGGGGCCGUGCAGGAGGGACAGCAGAACAGCUUUGAACGCAUGGACUGCGGCCCACCAGUUGGCACAACCGCUAUGGGUGUGCCCGCCAGGAUUUUAUGCAGCUCUGCUUGUUGUCUUCAUGGUCAUCCCUCAUAAUACACGGGUUCUAUGUACCCUCACUGGGCAGUGUCAUUGGCACCUAAAAUAUUAGUGUGUGAUCUUUUUCAAGCAUUGCUGCUGGAGCAGACGAUUCAACCACCACCCUUGGAAAGAACCUAGAGAUGGAGACUCUUGGUAAAGUUGGGAUGUUUUGUUAGUGGCCUUGAUGUAGAAAAUCUUAGGAGACAAUUUGUAGUUUAGAAAGGCACUGUCUUGAUAGUUGAGCUAGGGACUUUUUGAGGUUAGGGAACAAGAAUGGCAGCCUGAUUAGCACUGGCUAAAGCUGAUGAUUAAUUUCUUGUACCCAUUUUUGCCCUUGGCUUCCUGACAUAAUUUUUUUCUUUCUUUUUUUUUUUCACUUUUUAUUUAUAUAUUUUUUCAGAGUUAUUUUUCAAGUAUUAUUUUUAUUUUUAUUACAGUUUAUUCACUUUGUAUCUCCCCUGUACCUCCCUCCCUCCUCCCCUCCCAAUCCCACCCUCCCUUCCUGAUAUAAUUUAAUAAAAAAAUUGUUAAUGAGUAGAUGUGCACCAUGAGGAUUUAAAGUAGAAAUGACUGUUUUUUAAAUAUAAGUUUAGAUUUGCGAUUCUUUUAAGAUUAUUAAGUUACUUUUUAAGAUAAAUAAUAAAAUAACCGAUUCUUUUUUUAUAACUGCAAAUUGCACCUGCCAGUAAAGAGAAACAGGCUGAGAAAAUAACCUUACUGCCUUACAUUUUGUUACACUGUAACAAAUUUCUUAGUUACCAAUGUAGGUGGAUUCUUGAGAAUAAUUUGUUUUGUUUUGAGACAGGGCUUCUCUGUGUCGACCUGGUUGUCCUGGACUCCCUUUAUAGACCAGGAUGGCCUCGAACUCACAGAGCUCUGCCUACCUCUGCCUCCUGAGUGCAAGUGCUGGGAUUUGAGGCAUGUGCCACCGUGCCCAGCUACAGAAGAAUGUUUUCACCUGUAAUACUUAGAAGCACUUGAUCUUAUGAGGGUAUUGGGGAACAUGUUUUUUUCCCCACAUAUACUCACUGUAACCAUUCAUUCAAAGAAAAAGAGAAUGAAACCACAUUGUAAAUG